CCCAUAUGAUCGAGUCUUCUGGUGCCGGUCUUGCUGCUGAGCCCGGAGGACUUGGAACUUUCUUUUGGGAUGCCCUUUUUCCUCCUCCUUUGCCCUUUCAACUUGCAUGGCCUUGUUGGACAGGUGAGAGAAACUGAGGAAGUCUUGGCUACCAGAAUUGUCUUGAGUUCUGGCCUAAGUCCCUUCAGGAAACGGGCCAUCUUCUUGCCCUCGGUACUGACGUCAUCUGGCGCAUAGCGGGCUAAUUCCGUGAACUUGUGCACAUAUUCGCUGACAGAUCUUCCGUCUUGAGUCAAUUCUCGGAACUCGUCCUCCUUAACCUAUACAAGUCCUUGGGGCACAUGGUGCUCCCGGAAAGCUGCUUCAAAUUCCGCCCAGGUAGCAUCUCUGAUGGUGACGUUGAAGGUGUCCCACCAGGCUAAGGCCAUCCCGGAAAGUUGAUGGGCAGCCAGUUGAACACGCUGAUUUUCUGGGCAACCGAUGGCUUCCAACUUUCUUUUGAUAGUGCGCA
rnacentral:lncRNA from 1 species